rnacentral:rRNA from 1 species
AGUGUAAGAUUCAGAGUUUGAGUCCUGGCUCAGGACGAACGCUGGCGGCGUGCUUAACACAUGCAAGUCGAACGCUGAAGCUCCAGCUUGCUGGGUGGAUGAGUGGCGAACGGGUGAGUAAGACGUGAGUAACCUGCCCUUGACUCUGGGAUAAGCCUGGGAAACCGGGUCUAAUACUGGAUACUACUGUUCAUCGCAUGGUGGGUGGUGGAAAGGGUUUGACUGGUUUUGGAUGGGCUCACGGCCUAUCAGCUUGUUGGUGGGGUAAUGGCUCACCAAGGCGACGACGGGUAGCCGGCCUGAGAGGGUGACCGGCCACACUGGGACUGAGACACGGCCCAG